AAGUUCAUGUAGGUAGGCCUAGGCCCACUGGGGCUGUAGUGCCAAGGAAAAAGAAAACAUGAAAGAUGGCUGCAUAAAUAAAGUUUGUGAUGCUGCUACCCGGAGAACAACCGCAGUUCCUGAGGUCUGGCAAUGCGAACUGUGCUAAACCUAUCAUAACCGCGGAUCCUGUAACGGCUUUAGUGACACUGAAGCUCUCUUCAGAGGCAAAAUUGUGGACGUAAGAGAUGAGGACAGAUGGGAAGAUUAAGAAAAUGUUUUGCUCCUGGGUGUGUGUCAUGCAGUGAGCACACUGAAAUAAAAUUCUUCUAUUUUCCCAGGGAUUCAUCACGGGUUUUGAGACAGGGCUAUGGUAUGGGCAGGAGGAGUUGGAUUAUCCUGUACUACUGAUUCUCCUAGAAUGCUGUACCGCUGAUGACUGAAGCAGCCGGCAGAGGGCCACAGAGAGGAUGAAGAUACUGACAUAUCAGUAAGCCAUUAGGAAAGUAAUGCUUCUUCAUUUUUCCCUUAUAAUGUCCUGCCCAUACCAGCCCUGGAAAUUGACAGAGAGUAGUUAUGGAAUUACUGGAAGAAUAUAUGUGUGCCAACUAGUCACAUGAGCACCAAUAAAUGUUUCAUAAGUUGGAGAAAGUAGCCCUGGUGACAAGCAGUUGCAGUGCAGCACCAGAAACUACUGUGCAGCGAAUGAUAACAUCGUCAUCCACAAUUAAAUUACAUACAAGAGACUUAUUUUGAACUUGAGCUCCAUCUCUUCCCCUCCUUGCAAAUAUGUUUCCUUCGUCUCAGAAUAUUAGAACUUCACUGGGUCAGAGUUCAUUCUGGCCUUUAUCUUCAAGUAAUUAUAUUUCAAUCGAGAAUUGUGUGGGAAAUUGUUUUCUGACACAUGGGUCUUGUUAAUGUGUAGGUAAGAAUGACGAGGCAUUACUUUAUAAUUGACUUGCAAAGUUCAGGUUCUCCACCUCAAUCUGAAACUCUGAGAAGCAGAAUCAGUAUCAGGGUUGAAUGUGGGUAGGACUAUUUAUGUAAUUUCUUUAACUAUUUAAUUUUUGUUACAUUGUUAUUCACUUCUGUUGUUAUAGGUUUAUUCCUUCUCUUGCUUUCGCCAUAUAAUGCUACCUGUACUGGACUGGUGAACAUGAACAAAAGAUUUUCAAUAGUAAUUGCAUUUCUUCAACAUAUAUUAUUAAUUUUUGCUAUAUAAUCGUAUCAUUACUGAACUGGAAUUUGAAUAGAUACCAAAUUUUCAGUAUUCAUUAUAUUUCUUUGAGAUAUGCUAUUAUUUCCGCCAUAUUAUUCUGCCCAGUGAUGAACUGGUGAAGAUGAAUAUAUCAGAUUUUCUUACAUCAUUAAAUGCAGUCUUAAUCUUGCUGACAAAAG